rnacentral:rRNA from 1 species
GACAGAGGUGCCAAGCGUUAGGCGGAAUCACUGGGCUUAAAGCGUGUGUAGGCGGGCGGGCAAGUACCUUGUGAAAUCCCACGGCUCAACCGUGGGACUGCUGGGUAUACUGCCUGUCUUGAGCCAGCCAGGGGCAGUCGGAACAGACGGUGGAGCGGUGAAAUGCGUAGAUAUCGUCUGGAACGCCAAAGGUGAAAACAGACUGCUGGGGCUGUGCUGACGCUGAGACACGAAAGCCAGGGGAGCGAACGGG